rnacentral:rRNA from 1 species
UACGUAGGGGGCAAGCGUUGUCCGGAAUUAUUGGGCGUAAAGCGCGUGUAGGCGGUCCGGUAAGUCGGCUGUGAAAGUCCAGGGCUCAACCCUGGGAUGCCGGUCGAUACUGCCGGACUAGAGUGCGGAAGGGGCAACUGGAAUUCUUGGUGUAGCGGUGAAAUGCGUAGAUAUCAAGAGGAACACCUGCGGCGAAGGCGGGUUGCUGGGCCGACACUGACGCUGAGGCGCGAAAGCUAGGGGAGCGAACGGG